rnacentral:rRNA from 1 species
UAACGCGUGGGUAACCUGCCUUGUACUGGGGGACAACAGUUGGAAACGACUGCUAAUACCGCAUAAGCGCACAGCUUCGCAUGAAGCAGUGUGAAAAACUCCGGUGGUACAAGAUGGACCCGCGUCUGAUUAGCUGGUUGGUGAGGUAACGGCCCACCAAGGCGACGAUCAGUAGCCGGCCUGAGAGGGUGAACGGCCACAUUGGGACUGAGACACGGCCCAAACUCCUACGGGAGGCAGCAGUGGGGAAUAUUGCACAAUGGGGGAAACCCUGAUGCAGCAACGCCGCGUGAGUGAAGAAGUAUUUCGGUAUGUAAAGCUCCAUCAGCAGGAAAGAAAAUGACGGUACCUGACUAAGAAGCCCCGGCUAACUACGUGCCAGCAGCCGCGGUAAUACGUAGGGGGCAAGCGUUAUCCGGAUUUACUGGGUGUAAAGGGAGCGUAGACGGUUUUGCAAGUCUGAAGUGAAAGCCCGGGGCUUAACCCCGGGACUGCUUUGGAAACUGUAGGACUAGAGUGCAGGAGAGGUAAGUGGAAUUCCUAGUGUAGCGGUGAAAUGCGUAGAUAUUAGGAGGAACACCAGUGGCGAAGGCGGCUUACUGGACUGUAACUGACGUUGAGGCUCGAAAGCGUGGGGAGCAAACAGGAUUAGAUACCCUGGUAGUCCACGCCGUAAACGAUGAUUACUAGGUGU